GACGAACGCUGGCGGCGUGCUUAACACAUGCAAGUCGAGCGGUAAGGCCCUUUCGGGGGUACGACGAGCGGCGAACGGGUGAGUAACACGUGGGUGACCUGCCCUCAGCUCUGGGAUAAGCCUGGGAAACCGGGUCUAAUACCGGAUAUGACUCCAUGACGCAUGUUGUGGGGUGGAAAGCCUUGUGCGGCUGAGGAUGGGCCCGCGGCCUAUCAGCUUGUUGGUGGGGUGANGGCCUACCAAGGCGACGACGGGUAGCCGGCCUGAGAGGGCGACCGGCCACACUGGGACUGAGACACGGCCCAGACUCCUACGGGAGGCAGCAGUGGGGAAUCUUGCGCAAUGGGCGAAAGCCUGACGCAGCGACGCCGCGUGAGGGAUGACGGCCUCGGUGU
rnacentral:rRNA from 1 species